ensembl:lncRNA
CGGGAAAGUUAGACUCUAUUUAGGUGUUUUGCCCGCGUAGUAACUUCGCGGAGUCAAUUCGUCAGCCUACGGAGCGAGUUGUGUCUGGACAGCGCGCUCCGAUUCAAGCCUCGCUCCUGCUCAAGCCUUGCCUUGCUAUCCAGCCUUCGCCUUGCUUCCCAGCCUUUGUUUAUCUACGGACCUUGCCUUGUUUCCAGGAUCAAUCCUUGCCUUGUUCCACGGAUUUUAUCAAGUUAUUCCACGGACCUUGUUCUUGUUCUUAGUUACCUUGUUCCACGAUCAAUCCUUGCCUUGUUCCACGGAUUUUAUCAAGUUAUUCCACGGACCUUGUUCUUGUUCUUAGUUACCUUGUUCCACGUUCAAGCCUUGUUUCAAGUAUCAAGUUAUUUCCUAGCCUCGCUCAAGUUUCAUGGACUAAAGGACCUUGUCAUCUCCCCUCACUUUGCUUGGCAAAGUGAGUGUUUCGGUUAUUGGAUUACAACUUUGGACCUUAAUAUUUCUUAUUUGACAUUGCUUUUUUGGACUAAUUCUGACCUUUCCUGAAAGGUCUAAUUCUGGACUAUUUUCUACACUUGUUUUUAUUAACUUUAUAUAUUCCUUCAAUAAAGAUAUUAGAUAGAUUCUGGCCUCUGUGUAUGGUUAUUGGUGCUCUGCAGUCUGGGUCGUGACAAUAACUAGGAGGAGGAGGAGGAUAAAUUUAUUGUGUUGUUGAAGGCUUUAAUGGCCAGAAUCACUGGGCUGCUGUGAGUUUUCUGAGCUGUAUGGCUAUGUUCCAGAAGCAUUCCCUCCUAUCGUUUCGCUUGCAUCUAUGGCAGGCAUCCUCAGAGGGUGUGAAGUCUCUUGGAAACUAUGGAAGUGUGGUUUAUAUAUAUGUGGAAUAUUCAGGGUGGGAAAAAGAACUCUUGUCUGAGACCGGUGUGAAUGUUGCAAUUGGCCACUUUGAUUAGCAUUGCAGCUUCAAAUCCUGGCUUCUUCCUGCCUGGGGGAAUCCUUUGUUGGGAGGUGUUAGCUGGCCCUGAUUGUUUCCUGUCUGGAAUUACUCUGUUUCCUUAGUGGUGUUCUUUAUUUACUGUCCUGGUUUUAUAAUAACAUAAUAAUAACUUUAUUUUAUACCCCGCCUCUAUCUCCCCAAAGGGGACUCAGGGCGGCUUACAUGGGGCCAAGCCCGAAUAAAAACAAUAGCAAUAUAAAACACAACAAUAGACAAAAAACAUGCACAAUUAUAAAAAUUUAAACAUUAGCCAAUAAAAACAAAUGACAAGAACUAAUAAAAACAUGGAUUAAAACGGAGAGGUUGUAAAAGUAGACUGGAGCUUUUUAAAUACUGACGUUUUGCCCACAUCUACUAACUUUGUCCCUACUUCAAGUAAGUCACCCCAGCCUUGCCAUCAGAGUUGUCAGAGGUUGAGAAGAAGGUCUGCUCAGCAUUCUCAUGCACAGCAGAGGGCAAGGACCAUAGUUAUCAUGCUGAGCAUAUUCUCCAAAAUGCCAAAGCCUACUUACUGUAGUCCUAUUCAAGCUUCUAUCCAAGUAAGAAGGCUAAAACUACCAUAUUUACAUCAAUCUCAACCACACCUUUUUUUCCCUAAAUGACUAUGCUAAAAUUGAGGUGUGCAUUACAUUUGUGCAAUACAGUAAAGACAAGUGUGUUGCUGUGAGCUUUCUGAGCUAUAUGGUCAUUUUCCAGAAGCAUUCUCUAUAGAUGCACGUUUCACCUGCAUCUAUGGCAGGCAUCCUUACAGGUUGUGAGGUCUGUUGGAAGCUAGGCAAAUGGGGUUUAUAUAUCAUGGAAUGAUGUCCAGGGUGGGAGAAAGAACUCUUGUCUGUUGGAGGCAAGUGUGAAUGUUUCAAUUGCCCAUCUUAAUUAGCAUAGAAUAGCCUUUCAGCUUCAAAGCUUGGCUGCAUC